rnacentral:rRNA from 1 species
UACGUAGGGUGCAGGCGUUAAUCGGAAUUACUGGGCGUAAAGCGUGCGCAGGCGGUCUUUUAAGUCAGAUGUGAAAUCCCCGGGCUUAACCUGGGAACUGCGUUUGAAACUGGAAGGCUAGAGUGUGGCAGAGGGGGGUGGAAUUCCACGUGUAGCAGUGAAAUGCGUAGAUAUGUGGAGGAACACCGAUGGCGAAGGCAGCCCCCUGGGCUAACACUGACGCUCGAUGCAC